rnacentral:rRNA from 1 species
GACAGAGGCCUCAAGCGUUAGGCGGAAUCACUGGGCUUAAAGCGUGUGUAGGCGGGUCGUUAAGUACCUUGUGAAAUCCCACGGCUCACCCGUGGAACUGCUGGGUAUACUGGCGAUCUUGGAGCCACUGGACGGAAGUGGAACAAACGGUGGAGCGGUGAAAUGCGUAGAUAUCGUUUGGAACGCCAAGUGUAAAACAGUUGCUGGGGAGUGCUGACGCGUGAGACACGAAAGCCAGGGGAGCAAAACGGGG